rnacentral:tRNA from 1 species
GCCUUUGUAGCUCAAUAGGUAGAGCAUCCGCUUGAAGCGCGGUUUGUAUGGGUUCAAGUCCCAUCAUAGGCA